rnacentral:rRNA from 1 species
CAGAGACUGCGAGCGUUAUUCGGAUUCACUGGGCGUAAAGGGUGCGUAGGCGGCCGUGUGUGUGAGGCGUGAAAGCCCGGGGCUUAACCCCGGAAUUGCACCUCAAACUACAUGGCUAGAGCAUUGGAGAGGGUAGCAGAAUUCAUGGUGUAGCAGUGAAAUGCGUAGAUAUCAUGAGGAAUACCAGAGGCGAAGGCGGCUACCUGGACAAUUGCUGACGCUCAGGCACGAAAGCGUGGGGAGCAAAAGGGAUUAGAUACCCCUGUAGUCCACGCCCUAAACGGCGCACACUAGGUCUUGGCGGAUUCGACCCCCCAGGGCCCCAGCUAACGCGUUAAGUGUGCCGCCUGAGGACUACGGCCGCAAGGCUA